UACGUAAGUGGCGAGCGUUGUCCGGAAUUACUGGGCGUAAAGCGUGCGUAGGCGGUUUAGUGUGUGGGAAUUGAAAGCCCGGGGCUCAACUCCGGAUCCGGUUCCCAAACUGCUAGACUCGAGCGUAUCAGAGGACAGUGGAAUUCCCGGUGUAGCGGUAAUAUGCGUAGAUAUCGGGAGGAACACCAGUGGCGAAGGCGACUGUCUGGGGUAUUGCUGACGCUGAGGCACGAAAGCCAGGGGAGCGAACGGG
rnacentral:rRNA from 1 species